rnacentral:rRNA from 1 species
AGAACGAACGCUGGCGGCAGGCCUCAAACAUGCAAGUCUAGGGGGGUAGCAAUACCCACCGGCGGACGGGUGCGUAACACGUGGGAAUAUACCUUUCGGUACGGAACAACUGCGGGAAACUGCAGCUAAUACCGUAUACGUCCUAACGGAGAAAGAUUUAUCGCCGAAGGAUUAGCCCGCGUCCGAUUAGCUAGUUGGUGAGGUAAUGGCUCACCAAGGCUCCGAUCGGUAGCUGUUCUGAGAGGAAGAUCAGCCACACUGGGACUGAGACACGGCCCAGACUCCUACGGGAGGCAGCAGUUGGGAAUCUUGGACAUGGGGAAACCCUGAUCCAGCCAUGCCGCGUGAGUGAUGAAGGCCUUCGGGUUGUAAAACUCUUUCGACGGGGACGAUAAUGACGGUACCCGUAGAAGAAGCUCCGGCUAACUUCGUGCCAGCAGCCGC